rnacentral:rRNA from 1 species
AGUGAACGCUGGCGGUAGGCCUAACACAUGCAAGUCGAACGGCAGCACAGUAAGAGCUUGCUCUUACGGGUGGCGAGUGGCGGACGGGUGAGGAAUACAUCGGAAUCUACUUUUUCGUGGGGGAUAACGUAGGGAAACUUACGCUAAUACCGCAUACGACCUACGGGUGAAAGCAGGGGAUCUUCGGACCUUGCGCGAUUGAAUGAGCCGCUGUCGGAUUAGCUAGUUGGCGGGGUAAAGGCCCACCAAGGCGACGAUCCGUAGCUGGUCUGAGAGGAUGAUCAGCCACACUGGAACUGAGACACGGUCCAGACUCCUACGGGAGGCAGCAGUGGGGAAUAGUGGACAAUGGGCGCAAGCCUGAUCCAGCCAUACCGCGUGGGUGAAGAAGGCCUUCGGGUUGUAAAGCCCUUUUGUUGGGAAAGAAAAGCAGCAGGUUAAUACCCCGCUGUUCUGACGGUACCCAAAGAAUAAGCACCGGCUAACUUCGUG